GUGAAGAAGGAAAUUUGGGAACGCAUAUUGCACUCUCUGGUAUUCCGGGGAGUAUGCCUGUUUGAGGGUCAUUUGAAAUAAUAUAAAUUCCAAGAUUUCUCGGAAUUUAAAAUGGGUUUUCGAUUUUUUGUGGUCUCCUAAAAUCCAAGACAAGCUCAUUUUCUUCGGUUGCGUGAUACUUUCAGUUAGCUGU
rnacentral:misc_RNA from 1 species